rnacentral:rRNA from 1 species
UACGUAAGUGGCGAGCGUUAUCCGGAAUUACUGGGCGUAAAGCGUGCGUAGGCGGUUUAGUGUGUGGGAUUUGAAAGCCCGGGGCUCAACUCCGGAUCCGGAUCCCAACUGCUAGACUCGAGAGUAUCAGAGGAGAGCGGAAUUCCCGGUGUAGCGGUAAUAUGCGUAGAUAUCGAGGAAGAACCAGCGGUGGAGGCGAGCGCUGCCUACUGGGCUACC